rnacentral:ncRNA from 1 species
UUCCCCACCUCGGGGGGCUCGAAAGAGCUGAGAUAGCGCAAGCUGACCCGUCGAACCUGAACCGGUUAACACCGGCGGAGGGAAGGUCUGGGACACGCUC